AACGAACGCUGGCGGCAUGCCUAACACAUGCAAGUCGAACGAGACCUUCGGGUCUAGUGGCGCACGGGUGCGUAACGCGUGGGAACCUGCCCUUAGGUUCGGGAUAACUCCCCGAAAGGGGUGCUAAUACCGGAUAAUGUCUUCGGACCAAAGAUUUAUCGCCUUUGGAUGGGCCCGCGUUGGAUUAGCUAGUUGGUAGGGUAAAAGCCUACCAAGGCGACGAUCCAUAGCUGGUCUGAGAGGAUGAUCAGCCACACUGGGAAUGAGACACGGCCCAGACUCCUACGGGAGGCAGCAGUGGGGAAUAUUGGACAAUGGGCGAAAGCCUGAUCCAGCAAUGCCGGGUGAGUGAUGAGGGCCUUAGGGUUGUAAAGCUCUUUUACCCGGGAUGAUAAUGACAGUACCGGGAGAAUAAGCUCCGGCUAACUCCGUG
rnacentral:rRNA from 1 species